rnacentral:rRNA from 1 species
UACGUAGGGUGCGAGCGUUGUCCGGAUUUAUUGGGCGUAAAGGGCUCGUAGGCGGCGUGUCGCGUCGGGAGUGAAAGCCCGUUGCUUAACGGCGGGUUGGCUUUCGGUACGGGCAUGCUGGAGUGCGGCAGGGGAGACUGGAAUUCCUGGUGUAGCGGUGAAAUGCGCAGAUAUCAGGAAGAACACCCGUGGCUAAGGCGGCUCUCUAGUACGGUACUGACGCUGAGACGCGAAAGCGUGGGGAGCGAACAGG